rnacentral:rRNA from 3 species
CGCAUGGUGGGGGGUGGAAAGCUUUUGUGGUUUUGGAUGGACUCGCGGCCUAUCAGCUUGUUGGUGGGGUAAUGGCCUACCAAGGCGACGACGGGUAGCCGGCCUGAGAGGGUGACCGGCCACACUGGGACUGAGACACGGCCCAGACUCCUACGGGAGGCAGCAGUGGGGAAUAUUGCACAAUGGGCGCAAGCCUGAUGCAGCGACGCCGCGUGAGGGAUGACGGCCUUCGGGUUGUAAACCUCUUUCAGUAGGGAAGAAGCCCUCUUUUGGGGGUGACGGUACUUGCAGAAGAAGCGCCGGCUAACUACGUGCCAGCAGCCGCGGUAAUACGUAGGGCGCAAGCGUUAUCCGGAAUUAUUGGGCGUAAAGAGCUCGUAGGCGGUUUGUCGCGUCUGCUG